rnacentral:rRNA from 1 species
UCGUAGGUUACCUGCGGAGGGAUCAUUACUGAGUUACCGCUCUAUAACCCUUUGUGAACAUACCUACAACUGUUGCUUCGGCGGGUAGGCCGUCCCCUGAAAAGGACGCCUCCCGGCCCGGACCGGACCCCCCGCGGGACCGGACCCGGCGCCCGCCGGAGGAUAACCAAACUCUAUUGUAACGACGUUUCUUCUGAGUGGCAUAAGCAAAAUAAUCAAAACUUUUAACAACGGAUCUCUUGGUUCUGGCAUCGAUGAAGAACGCAGCGAAAUGCGAUAAGUAAUGUGAAUUGCAGAAUUCAGUGAAUCAUCGAAUCUUUGAACGCACAUUGCGCCCGCCAGCAUUCUGGCGGGCAUGCCUGUUCGAGCGUCAUUUCAACCCUCAAGCUCUGCUUGGUGUUGGGGCUCUACGGUCGACGUAGGCCCUCAAAGGUAGUGGCGGACCCUCCCGGAGCCUCCUUUGCGUAGUAACAUUUCGUCUCGCACUGGGAUCCGGAGGGACUCUUGCCGUAAAACCCCCCAAUUUUCCAAAGGUGACCUCGGAUCAGGUAGA